AUAAAUAAACUUUAAAAAAAAAAAAAAAAAAGAGCUGGAGACUUAACUAACUGAGCCACCCAGGCACCCCCAUAAUGCCUUGUUUUUAUACUAGUCUUCUAAUCUAUUAAGUAUUUUUACAUAAAUUUUCCUUUAAUUCUUGAUAAUCAGCAUGCUAUUAUUCUUUCUGUAGGGUUUAGGAAACUGAGGCUCAGAGAAGUUUCCUUCUCUGAAAGGAAACUUCAGACCCAAAUUUGCCCAAGACCACAGAACUUCGAACUGACAGAAAUUAAACUGGAGUACAAAUAAAAGUGGAGGAUUUUUGAACCCAGGGGGCGUGGAAGGGAUCUUGAGCAAGAAGGGGUGGGGUCUGCUGGGGAAAGGUGGGACUGGACUAUUUUUGUCAGGGGGUUACCGCUUAAGCAAAUCUGUGCCACUGUGGAAACAACCUCUACUGAUUCCCCAGGGCUUUUCACAGCUUUUUCGUUGCCUCCAUAACCCAAGCUAUACACUCUUUAAGAACUUCAAGAUUUACCCUUAUUUUUUUAUAUACUAACUUGCACAGACUACCUUGGCAAUACUGUUCUAAGGAGGAGUUUAAAAAAGUCUGGCUUCAAAUUCCAGUUCCUCCACCUACAAACUGGAUGGCCUUGGGCAAGUUAUCUAACUUCCAUUUCCCGACCUCUAAGGAAUGAGAAACCUACGGGAAAACAGUAUACAUAGUUCCGGCACAAAAGUUAAAACCAAAGUGGAAAAGGCAUCCAGCAAGUUCAGCAGCUUUUGCCUCGAGGUGGAAAU